rnacentral:rRNA from 1 species
GUUAAGUUGCAGGGUAUAGACCCGAAACCCGGUGAUCUAGCCAUGGGCAGGUUGAAGGUUGGGUAACACUAACUGGAGGACCGAACCGACUAAUGUUGAAAAAUUAGCGGAUGACUUGUGGCUGGGGGUGAAAGGCCAAUCAAACCGGGAGAUAGCUGGUUCUCCCCGAAAGCUAUUUAGGUAGCGCCUCGUGAAUUCAUCUCCGGGGGUAGAGCACUGUUUCGGCAAGGGGGUCAUCCCGACUUACCAACCCGAUGCAAACUGCGAAUACCGGAGAAUGUUAUCACGGGAGACACACGGCGGGUGCUAACGUCCGUCGUGAAGAGGGAAACAACCCAGACCGCCAGCUAAGGUCCCAAAGUCAUGGUUAAGUGGGAAACGAUGUGGGAAGGCCCAGACAGCCAGGAUGUUGGCUUAGAAGCAGCCAUCAUUUAAAGAAAGCGUAAUAGCUCACUGGUCGAGUCGGCCUGCGCGGAAGAUGUAACGGGGCUAAACCAUGCAC